GACGAACGCUGGCGGCGUGCUUAACACAUGCAAGUCGAACGAGAGGCGAACGGGUGAGUAAUACGUGGGUAACCUGCCCUCUUUUUGGGAUAAGCCUUGGAAACCGGGUCUAACACCGCAUCUAGGGGGAGGGGCUCGCGGCGUAUCUGCUUGUUGGUGGGGUGAUGGGCCAACAAGGCGGUGACGGGUAGCCGGCUUGUGACGGUGACCGGGCACUGUGGGACGGAGCUGCGGCCCAGCCUCCUAAGGGAGGCAGCAGUGGGGGAUAGUGCACAAUGGGCGAAAGCCUGAUGCAGCGACGCCGCGUGGGGGAUGCAGGCUUUCGGGUUGUAAACCUCUUUCGCAAUCGAACGGGUAGGUGGAGAAGAAGCGCCGGCUAACUACGUGCCAGCAGCCGCGGUAAUAC
rnacentral:rRNA from 1 species